AGCGAACGCUGGCGGCAGGCCCAAUACAUGCAAGUCGAACGGCUCUUCGGAGCAGUGGCGGACGGGUGAGUAACGCGUGGGAAUGUGCCCUUAGGUACGGAACAACACAGGGAAACUUGUGCUAAUACCGUAUGUGCCCUUCGGGGGAAAGAUUUAUCGCCUUUGGAGCAGCCCGCGUUGGAUUAGGUAGUUGGUGAGGUAAAGGCUCACCAAGCCGACGAUCCAUAGCUGGUCUGAGAGGAUGACCAGCCACACUGGGACUGAGACACGGCCCAGACUCCUACGGGAGGCAGCAGUAGGGAAGCUUGCGCAAUGGGCGAAAGCCUGACGCAGCCAUGCCGCGUGUAUGAUGAAGGUCUUAGGAUUGUAAAAUACUUUCACCGGGGAAGAUAAUGACGGUACCCGGAGAAGAAGCCCCGGCUAACUUCGUGCCAGCCGCCGCAGUAA
rnacentral:rRNA from 1 species